rnacentral:lncRNA from 1 species
AUUAUACAAUGAUCAUGCCGACGGGUAAGAGGUAGGUUGCGCGGUUCGUCAAAUAUAUUUGAAAAUUCAGCAAGCAAAGGAAGUAGAUUUGGAUCUUCAAAUUCUAUUGGCUCUCCCUUAGUUUGCUACUCAAGUUGUACCAAAAAUUCGCUGCAUGCUUUAUGCAAAACAUUCUCCAUUUGUUGUGUGCAAAUCGUUGUUAUGUCGCCCCCACGUUUCCCGUGCAAUGUCACCUGUUUCUCCUUACUGUAAAAUUUCAUAAUUAGUUU